rnacentral:rRNA from 1 species
UACAGAGGUCCCAGGCGUUGUUCGGAUUCAUUGGGCGUAAAGGGUGCGUAGGUGGCGCCGUAAGUCAGGUGUGAAAUUUCGGAGCUUAACUCCGAAACUGCAUUUGAUACUGCGGUGCUUGAGGACUGGAGAGGAGACUGGAAUUUACGGUGUAGCAGUGAAAUGCGUAGAGAUCGUAAGGAAGACCAGUGGCGAAGGCGGGUCUCUGGACAGUUCCUGACACUGAGGCACGAAGGCCAGGGGAGCAAACGGG